rnacentral:tRNA from 1 species
GAGGCCUUAGCUUAGUUAAAGUGUCUGAGUGCAUUCAGAAGAUGUGUUGUAGUCUUCACAGGUCUUA